rnacentral:tRNA from 1 species
GCGCCAGUAGUAUAGCUUGGUCCAGUAUAGGGCGUUGCCAACGCUCUGACCCGAGUUCAAAUCUCGGCUGGCGCA